CAGGUUUCAUAGUUGUGAUGUGUUGUGCUGUUGUUGGACCUGUGAUGAUUGUAGCCGCACUUCUCAUCUUCUGCAGAAAACACACACACACACAACAACAAGAUCCGGCCGGUGAAGAUGAGAUCACUUACGCCUUCUGUAAAAGACAAACACAUCAACCGAGAUGUGCGGUGGAGGAUGAUGUGGUGUAUUCAGGAGUCAUGAGAAGAUGAUCAAACUCUCUGUCCAUAGACGUUCAGAUUACAGUAACUAUGUCUGCUCAACACACCCGUUUAAAGUCUAUUAAAUGUCAUUGAAAUGAUGCAAUACAAGCAAACCCUGUGAUGCCAGUGAAGUAUAUUCUUUUCACUGCUGUCUUGACAUGAACUACUGAAAUAUGAGUGCACAAAAGAUAUGAAAAGAGAAUUGUUUCUGACUUUGACAAAUGUUUCAUGCAGAUUGUAACAUUAAAUAGUUUUUAACUGUAUAUUACACAUUGGUUUUUAUCUUUGUAUAUUCAGUGAUAUUUGCAAUAGAUACAGUAAAACUGUGCAUAUGUUUAAAACGUAUGUUUUCUUUUUCAAAAAAUAAAAUAAUUAAAUAACUGCAUCAAUGGAGUGUGAUGGAUGUAUGAAAUAAGAAAUGAACAUGUAGUUGAAUAUAAAGAUAAGUAAUAAAACUUAAAGAUCAAAUCUCUCUGUGUUUUGAGUGUAUUUAUGCUUCAUUUGCUUAGAUGUUUGAUCCCUUAAUGCUAAACAUUAAAAAUAUCCUAGUAACCACCCUAGCAACACACAUGUA